GCAGCCACUCAUUCAAAGAGUGCGUAAUAGCUCACUGGUCGAGUGAUCCUGCGCCGAAGAUUUCCGGGGCUAAAACUUACUACCGAAGCUACGGCAUCAGUAAUGAUGGGUAGGGGAGCUUCCCAUACGGGUUGAAGCAUGACCGUAAGGACAUGUGGACAGUAUGGGAGUGAGAAUGUUGGCAUGAGUAGCGAGAUGUGGGUGAGAAUCCCACAGGCCGUAAACCCAAGGUUUCCAGGGGAAGGUUCGUCCGCCCUGGGUUAGUCGGGACCUAAGCUGAGGCCGAAAGGCGUAGGUGAUGGACAACAGGUUGAUAUUCCUGUACUACCGAUAACCGUUUGAGAGAUGGGAUGACACAGUAGGAUAAGCUAAGCACACUGUUGGUUAUGUGUGCCCAAGCAUUGAGGCAGUCAAAGUAGGCAAAUCCGCUUUGAUAAUGCUGGGAGGUGAUGGGGAGCGAAAUUUAGUAGCGAAGUAGCUGAUUUCACACUGUCAAGAAAAGUCUCUAUCGAGGUUAAAGGUACCCGUACCGCAAACCGACACAGGUGGGUGAGGAGAGUAUCCUAAGGCCAG
rnacentral:rRNA from 1 species